rnacentral:rRNA from 1 species
UACGGAGGGGGCUAGCGUUUUUCGGAAUUACUGGGCGUAAAGGGCGCGUAGGCGGCGCGGCAAGUCAGGUGUGAAAGGCCCGGGCUCAACCCGGGGACGGCACUUGCGACUGCCGUGCUGGAAUCCGGGAGAGGAUGGCGGAAUUCCCAGUGUAGAGGUGAAAUUCGUAGAUAUUGGGAAGAACACCGGUGGCGAAGGCGGCCAUCUGGCCCGGGAUUGACGCUGAGGCGCGAAAGCGUGGGGAGCAAACAGG